UCCAGGUACCAUUUAAAAGGUUUACACUUCAACUUCUCUCUGAGUUUUUUCCUUUCAGAGACGUCUCCUAUGUCAAAUCCGUGAUUCUACAGAAGCCAAAAGUCGAUUACUCUUGAGCUGCUGAUAACUUCCAAUUCUACCAACCUCGGCCACUCGCAGGGCGUUCCUCUUCAUGGCGGGACCCAGGUCCCGCAUGUACGGCUUGUGGUAUCGCUCGAUGUGGGCGAUCUUGGAGCACGGCACCACUUCGACGCUGCCGCCGCACGUCCACACCUUCGGCGUGGGAUCAACGUCAUGAUUUACAGCACAAGCAAACGGUUUUGACCCAAGUCCAGACAGAGGCCGAUCACUCACGCGAAUUCCCAGCUCAACGUUUUCCCCACCGUACACUCUCAUCCCUUCAUCGAGGACUCCAACUUCCCCCAGGAACUUCCUUUCAGCAACAAAGAUUCCCAUGACAGACGGACUCCUGAAAAAAAGUCAUUGUAAAACACAUAUUAUGUACAUAAUAUGUACUUCAGUUUCUUUAUAAAUCCAAACAUGACUGACUGCUGGACUUGAACUCACUUCCCAGGCAGAGAGCCGUCUUUCAGCUUGUAAUAAUCUGGAGUAAAGCCCUCGUACAUGCACCACAAGGCCCAGUCGAAGGCGUGCGCCGCCGGCUCGUAGCGAAUGACCCGGAGGUCAUCGAAGUUGACCCUGUCAAACACAGGGGACACCACCACGGUGCGGUCGCCUUUGAUCUGUGUCAGCAGAGGUUCUGCCCUGCGUCAAAAAGGAGUAGAAGCAAACAACAUAAUAGUUACAAUAUUAUUAUUAAUAUUUUAGACUUUUAUUUGUUACUGGGUUUGGGUGGAUGCUGGCCCUGGAUAACCCUACAGUAUGUUCCUCAAUAACUUUGUGCUAUGUCACCCGUCACAAUGUAAAAGAUUGAUGAUUUUCCAGUGUCUCUGAUAGAACAAUAGACCUGCACCCUUAUUACCAACAGGCUGUUUUUGUUAUGGAUCAGUGCUAGUCACUCCUUUAUUACCUCACUGCCUAUUAAUGUGACUGUAAUGUGAUAUUUAAACAGGUGGAGCACACA